rnacentral:rRNA from 1 species
CCUACGGGGGGCUGCAGUGGGGAAUAUUGCGCAAUGGCCGAAAGGCUGACGCAGCGACGCCGCGUGGGGGAUGAAGCAUUUCGGUGUGUAAACCCCUGUUGCUCGGGACGAACAAGCGAUUUCGAUCGCUCUGACGGUACCGGGUGAGGAAGCACCGGCUAACUCCGUGCCAGCAGCCGCGGUAAUACGGAGGGUGCGAGCGUUGUCCGGAAUCACUGGGCGUAAAGGGCGCGUAGGCGGUCUGCUAAGCGUGCGGUGAAAGCCUGGGGCUCAAC